rnacentral:rRNA from 1 species
AUUGAACGCUGGCGGCAGGCCUAACACAUGCAAGUCGAGCGGAUGAAGGGAGCUUGCUCCUGUAUUCAGCGGCGGACGGGUGAGUAAUGCCUAGGAAUCUGCCUGGUAGUGGGGGAUAACGUCCGGAAACGGGCGCUAAUACCGCAUACGUCCUUAGGGAGAAAGUGGUGGAUCUUCGGACCUCACGCUAUCAGAUGAGCCUAGGUCGGAUUAGCUAGUUGGUUGGGUAAAGGCCUACCAAGGCGACGAUCCGUAACUGGUCUGAGAGGAUGAUCAGUCACACUGGAACUGAGACACGGUCCAGACUCCUACGGGAGGCAGCAGUGGGGAAUAUUGGACAAUGGGCGAAAGCCUGAUCCAGCCAUGCCGCGUGUGUGAAGAAGGUCUUCGGAUUGUAAAGCACUUUAAGUUGGGAGGAAGGGAAGUAAGUGAAUACCUUGCUGUUUUGACGCUACCAACAGAAUAAGCACCGGCUAACUUCGUG